GCUUGGCCCGCUUGCCCGCCGCCGGCGCCCCGCCCGCCGCUCCCUUCCUCUCUCGCCUGAGCGCCGACCGCGGGGCCUGCAACCUCCACCCGGACGCGCCCGGCCCCCAUUUCUCCCGCCCGGCUCCCCGGCUUCGGCGGCGGCGGCCACGCCGUUCCAGCCAGUUCGACAAUCCCUUCCCGUUCCAGAUGAGCUCGCUUCUGCAUAUGUUCUUCGGUGACUCAUCGUCAGAGCAUGGUGGCUCUGUGUCAGGGCGUAAGGUGGUUCGACGGAAGCUCUUUGAUGAUUACUUUACUGAUGACAAGUCCACCGCCAUGGCAGGCGCCGCCGCCAGGAAAAAGCCACUGCGACUAUGCCACGCUGCCACCGCUGAUUCAACAUUGGCCAGGAGGCCCAGGACCCGCGGUGGCCUUGUUGCGCGUCUUGGAGGCGGGAUGGCGUGCCCGUCAUGAACCUGUCUGCUGGUGAAGCACCCAUGACAGGUCGUCAGAAGAGGAAAGCUUGGAUGCAGGCAAAGCUGAAGGCAAAGGAAGUGCAAGUUGGCGGGAACUCAGCAGAAGAGGAGGCGGGAACUGAAGAUGGGCUCGAUCCGGCUGGCCCGGCUAAACGCCGUGAAGCAAAGCCCAACCCGAAGUACCUUGGCCCAGAGUGGGUGCGUUGAAGAAUCUGGCCUAGCAAGUGCUGCCGCCGCUCGAAGAGUAUAUCCGGGGAUCUGAUCGUGGUCUUCAUGAAAAUUCUGGCUUGCAGUAGGUAGCUCUUGGCCGGCUUGCCGGAGAAACAGCAGCGAGCUUCGUCUCGAUUUUGCAUUGUGCUACUCUAUUACUUGAACCUUCUAUUGCAGAAGUAGUAGUAAAACCAUAUCGGUGCCGUUGGUGGGGAGCAAAGCUGUGGACUCAGGCUGAGGCUGUUUUCGAUCGGGAGUUCAUCAAGAUUUGCAGGUCAAGCUCUCUGAUUGCAUUGGGAAAGAAUUAUAUGUGGUUCUAUUAUUCUAUCCCUUGGACCUCGCGUUUGUCUUCCCAACGGAUGUUUUUUUUAGCAAUUCUGCUUGUGUGCGAUCAAAAGCGACAAGACCUCUUGGUAUUGCUUUGCCAUGCCAGGAAUCUCUCGGACUAUUCACCAUUGACAAGGAGGGUUUGAUUCAGUACUCUACCUUUACCUUGCAACUGGCUGUAGUGUGGAUGAGACCUUAAGGAAGUUUUCAUUCUGAUGUUAUGUUAUGCAUCUAAAUACUGCCUGUUGGGAUAAAUAAAUAUUUGUUUUUAGUUGCAAUUUAUUCUAGUUCUAAUCCUAUCGAUCUUUUUCUUUGAUGAGAGUCCCUUCAUUAUGUACAGAAAAACCCGGAGAGGCGCUUCAAUUUCCCCCUUGAGAAAAUUGACCAUUUGAUAUUGGCAGAUUUCUGACAAUUAGCCUUCAGUGUGCCGCGAGAUGCUCCAACAUUGCUUAGGUGUCAUGUAAUUUGUGUGGACUAUAGCAGUGUAUUAUUUUGCAUCACUUGUCAAAUUUUUCCUCCUGAAUUGAAAUUGUAUUGAACCAUGUUGAAUGGGUAGGAGAUAGCCAUG